CGGGGGAGGCCGGAUCUGGGCUGUGUCCCCGCGCCCUGUGCUCCGGGGCCUGCGCCGUAGGAUUCGGGCUCCUGCCCUGCAGCCCCCU
rnacentral:pre_miRNA from 1 species